rnacentral:rRNA from 1 species
UUGGAGGGCAAGUCUGGUGCCAGCAGCCGCGGUAAUUCCAGCUCCAAUAGCGUAUAUUAAAGUUGUUGCAGUUAAAAAGCUCGUGGUUGAAUUUCGGGGUUAGUAGGUUGGUCGUGCCUCAGGUAUGUACUGAUCUCACUGAUUCCUCCUUCCUGAUGAACCGUAAUGCCAUUAAUUUGGUGUUGCGGGGAAACUGGACUGUUACUUUGAAAAAAUUAGAGUGUUUAAAGCAGGCUAACGCUUGAAUACAUUAGCAUGGAAUAAUGAAAUAGGACGUUCGAUCCUAUUUUGUUGGUUUCUAGGAUUGACGUAAUGAUUAAUAGGGAUAGUUGGGGGCAUUAGUAUUCAAUUGUCAGAGGUGAAAUUCUUGGAUUUAUUGAAGACUAACUACUGCGAAAGCAUUUGCCAAGGAUGUUUUCAUUAAUCAAGAACGAAAGUUAGGGGAUCGAAGACGAUCAGAUACCGUCGUAGUCUUAACCAUAAACUAUGCCGACUAGGGAUCGGAUGAUGUUAAUUUUUUAAUGACUCAUUCGGCGCCUUACGGGAAA